CCGUUGCUUGCAACGGCGAAUUGUAGUCUCGAGAAGCGUUUUCAAGGCGGAUCGAUCUCACCUAAGUUGCUUGGAACAGCACAUCAGAGAGGGUGACAAUCCCGUACGAGGUGAGGUUGGCCGUCCACGAUGCGCUUUCUAUGAGUCGGGUUGCUUGGGAAUGCAGCCCAAAAUGGGUGGUAAACUCCAUCUAAAGCUAAAUAUUGCCACGAGACCGAUAGCGAACAAGUACCGUGAGGGAAAGAUGAAAAGAACUUUGAAAAGAGAGUUAAAAAGUACGUGAAACCGUUAGAAGGGAAACAGAUGGAGUUAGCAAUGCUCUGACGAGAUUCAGAUGUUCUUUCAAUUGUACAUGCAGUGUGCGGAUCUGAAUGGACCGUCACUGUUUGGCUCGAUCGAUCGAACGUCGCACUCCCCGUCAGUGCGCGUCAACAUCUGUUAGAACUGAGUGACAAGCCCUCAAGAAAGGUAGGUAUGGUUAUCUGUACUGUUAUAGUCUUGAGUGUGCCAACUUGGAACUGACAGAGGCUUAGUUGCGGUACAUGCUCUCGUUCAAGGACAAGGGCUGGUGUUCCGUUCUUGGUUGGCUGUCGACCAUAGUGGACUGCUUGCAGUGCACUUGAACUGCUGUUAGCCAUCGAAUGGGUCUACACACACUAUGUACCAAAGUUGUUGGCGGCAAUAUGGCUUCAUUUGACCCGUCUUGAAACACGGACCAAGGAGUCUAACAUGUGUGCGAGUCUUAGGGUGACAGAAACCCGGAGGCACAAUGAAAGUAAAGGCUGCCUAGCAGCUGAGGUGAGAUCUGCUCGAUACUUUCUGGCAGCGCAUCAUCGACCGACCUAUUCUACUCUUAGAAAGGUUUGAGUAUGAGCACAUUUGUUGGGACCCGAAAGAUGGUGAACUAUGCCUGAGUAGGGUGAAGCCAGAGGAAACUCUGGUGGAAGCUCGUAGCGAUUCUGACGUGCAAAUCGAUCGUCAAACUUGGGUAUAGGGGCGAAAGACUAAUCGAACCACCUA
rnacentral:rRNA from 1 species